CUUGUGUUCUAUGCUUCUCUUAGUUCAGUUUAAGAUCAAGUUAAUUUUAUUUUUUUGACUAUUUUAUACUGGCAGGUCAUGUUGUUACUGAAGUCUACAUAUAAGCUUAAUUAAAUGACUGUGAUACAAACUCACAAUUAUAUAUCACUUUCCUCACAAAAUCACAGUGAGGUAGAUAAUAAAAAAUUAAUAAUACAUGAUCCAACAGUGAUCUUGGAUUAGACAAAAGAGCUGAAAUUGAAGAGGAAUUAAAAUCUAAAGAGGAAAAACUGGAAGAACUUGAGAAGAUCUUUGCAUGUUAUUAUGCUAUACUUCUACACCUAUUUCCCUCCUGGUUAAACAUUUGGUUAGACACAGUAAAAUGAGCACCAGACUUGAAGUGAGGGCACCUGGAUUCAAAUCCAACUCUUCAAUUUACUACCUGUUUCUGACCUCAGUAGUAAAGUCAUCAUAAUUGAAUUCCAACAUGAUUAUAAUCAGUGUUCUACAUGAAGAAGCAGAAAUAAUGUUACAAAAAAGAGAACAGAGUAACCAAGAAUACAGAAAGGAAGUGUAUGAUGAUGAGUAUUGAGAGAGCAGUUUUCAUGAUCAAUUCUGACCACCAAAUUCUUAGAAAAAAAAUUAAGACUUUAAUGUUACCAGAUAACAAGAACUCAGAGAAUAUUGUAACAACUAAUCUAUG
rnacentral:lncRNA from 1 species